GCGGGAGUAGUUCAAUGGUAGAACUCCAGCCUUCCAAGCUGAUCACGCGGGUUCGAUUCCCGUCUCCCGCUCCA
rnacentral:tRNA from 15 species